rnacentral:rRNA from 1 species
AAUAUAUACAGUGAAACUGCGAAUGGCUCAUUAAAUNNGUUAUCGUUUAUUUGAUAGUACCUUACUACUUGGAUAACCGUGGUAAUUCUAGAGCUAAUACAUGCUAAAAACCCCGACUUAACGGAGGGGUGUAUUUAUUAGAUAAAAAACCAAUGNCCUUCGGGCUCCUUGGUGAUUCAUGAUAACUUAACGAAUCGCAUGGCCUUGUGCCGGCGAUGGUUCAUUCAAAUUUCUGCCCUAUCAACUUUCGAUGGUAGGAUAGUGGCCUACCAUGGUUUCAACGGGUAACGGGGAAUUAGGGUUCGAUUCCGGAGAGGGAGCCUGAGAAACGGCUACCACAUCCAAGGAAGGCAGCAGGCGCGCAAAUUACCCAAUCCCGACACGGGGAGGUAGUGACAAUAAAUACUGAUACAGGGCUCUUUUGGGUCUUGUAAUUGGAAUGAGUACAAUUUAAAUCCCUUAACGAGGAACAAUUGGAGGGCAAGUCUGGUGCCAGCAGCCGCGGUAAUUCCAGCUCCAAUAGCGUAUAUUAAAGUUGUUGCAGUUAAAAAGCUCGUAGUUGAACCUUGGGUCUGGCUGGUCGGUCCUCCUCACCGAGUGUACUGAUCCGGCCGGACCUUUCCUUCUGGCUAGCCGCAUGCCCUUUACUGGGUGUGUCGGGGAACCAGGACUUUUACUUUGAAAAAAUUAGAGUGUUCAAAGCAGGCAUUUGCUCGAAUACAUUAGCAUGGAAUAAUAGAAUAGGACGUGCGGUUCUAUUUUGUUGGUUUCUAGGACCGCCGUAAUGAUUAAUAGGGAUAGUCGGGGGCAUCAGUAUUCAAUUGUCAGAGGUGAAAUUCUUGGAUUUAUUGAAGACUAACUACUGCGAAAGCAUUUGCCAAGGAUGUUUUCAUUAAUCAGUGAACGAAAGUUAGGGGAUCGAANACGAUCAGAUACCGUCGUAGUCNUAACCAUAAACUAUGCCGAUCAGGGAUCGGUGGAUGCUU